ACAUAAAAAAAACCCCAAAAAACAAAGUAAAUGUAUUUUAUUUUGGAUUUACCUAUUACGAUUUGUAUUAUUACUGCUAAUUUUUAUGCUUUGUCAGGACUUCUUUGAAAGUGAGACGAUACAUCUCAAGAGGUUAUCCCCGAAACAAGGAACGUCUCACUUCCCAGGAGAAGGUUCAUAAACAAAAUCUGACGGCACCAACCUUCGACGUGGAGCAGAAUCCGAAGGCCGAGCCGGGAGGAGCCACAGCUCUCCGCCGUGCUGCUGGACCCGGCCCUCGUCCUCGUACGCCGUUUGCUC